GCUCAGGUCACUCCGGUAAUCGGAGCGUGCUGAGUGCGAGAAUCACUCCCUGCAAGAGCUAAAAGCCGAGAACAGUGUGGGACCGACCGCGCUGGCACUUCGGAGACAGCUUGCUGCUGUGGAGAGCUGCUAAAAAUAGCCCACUCCCGGCUGACACUGGAGCCAUGGAAAAUCCUGCUCCGGAGGGGUGGCUGGGGCGCCCCUCCUGUGUCUGUGCCACCUGCUAGUGCCCAGAGGUGGGCUGGCCUGGCGGAGCUGACAAGGGCCAGCCUGCUGGGAGCCUCUUCCUCGGCCCGGGAAGACUGUAGGGAAACAGAGCUCUGACUCGCUGGCUCCUGCCUGACGGUGGAGGCGGGGGGAGGCCCAGACUUGCCUCCUGACCCUCCCACGGUUAGGAUGAGUGACGAAGUCCCCUCUGGGGCUGAGGCCUGGCCCUGGAUCAGGCUCCCGUCCUAGGAGGGCCCGGGGGAGACGAGUAGGGGACGCUCGUACCCAGCGGGGCAUUCGCGUCUGCAGCCGCCCGGAGCCGCCAGGCCACCGACUGCAGCCGUCUCCCGCUUUGCCCGAGGGCGUCCUGUUCUUGCCCCCUCGCCCCCGCCCCCCUCACAGCCUAUUCAACCCUUCCCCAGCUUGAGGCCUGCUCAUACCCGGCUUCCCUCCUCCAGAACACCCUCUGAUCCUUUUGUUCAAGGUACCAGGCCCCCCUCCAAGCGCCCGGUCCACCUCACCAUCCAGUGCUGGGGCUUCCCUUCCGCUGGCACCACCCAGGAUGCCGCGGCGCCUUGAGCAAGCUCCCGGGCGUCUCCGGCCUCCGGGAACCAAGGAGCAGGCCCCGAGGCCCGGCUGGUGGGAGCCCGUCGUGUAUCCUAUCGUGAUGUCAGCAGACCUCGCGCGAAGUCCUGGGUGGGCAGGAGAAUCGGAGACAUGGUAUUGGACGGGACCCAGUCCAGAGUAGUGGUUGACGUUCUGGAGAUGCGGAUCUGACGAACUGAGCAAGUGCCGGCAAUUUACUUACCCUCCCUGUGCCUCACUCCCUGCAUCUGUAAAAUGGGGAAGACAGUUGUUAAAAAGAAAACCAGAGGCCCCAAAUGGCUUCACGUAGGUUAAGGCCCACGUUAGUAAAACAAGUUAACCUAACUGUAGUUUGAACCCCCAGGAAUGCACCUGUAACCAGUCGACAUUUUCUGGUCAGAACUAGGAAAUUUAGUGAUUGACCCUUUCUGGUCUCCUUAGGAGGAUGACAUUACCUAAAACAAUAGGUUCUUUGCUAAAAUUUUCCUUUUUCUGCCACUGGUCUAGCUUUCUGUAACCCCUUGGAGCCCCCUCUUCUUGAUAGACCUAAUGUUGCCUGAUCCAUGAGCCAAUAAAGCAAAUUAGAAGUUUAAAAUGCACUUUGUUGGGCGGCCUGGGUGGCUCAGUGGUUUAGCACCGCCUUUAGCCCAGGGCGUGACCCCGGGGUCCCAGGAUCGAGUCCUGUGUGGAGCCUGCUUCUCCCUCUGCCUGUGUCUCUGCCUCUCUCGCUCUGUCUCUCUGUGUCUCUCAUGAAUAAAUAAAAUCUUUUAAAAAAAUGUACUCUGUUGAAUUUUUACUAUUUAACACAAUAAGAUGUUUCUUAUAUGGUUAUUGUGAGGACGUGUGUGUGUGUGUGUGUGUGUGUGUGUUGGGGGGGGUCAGAGACUGAAGCAUAGUAUUAUAUAAAUGUCAAUUGUUAUUACCAGGUCACAAACUCUUGAGAAUUCAAGAAAACAUGUAGACCCCUUUUCAGAAGAAACCUGUAUGCGGGACUUGGUACAUAAUUUCUAGGGCUAGGGUCAUGAGCUCCCCGAAGUUCAUAUGUGGAAGAACAUGACUAUAUCUAACAUGCUUUUUCCUUUUUUUUUUUUUUUUCCCAGUUGAGACUUUUAUGGUCAAAUUCAUGUAUGCAAAUAAUUGUAAAAGUGAGAAGAUAAGUGGCUGUCCUCUGUUCCCCCCCCCCCCC
rnacentral:lncRNA from 1 species